AACAAAAUGUAGCUUAAUUUCAAAGCCCCUCGCUUACACCGAGAUGUCAUCUGUUAAACCCGGAUCAUUUU
rnacentral:tRNA from 1 species